AUUGAACGCUGGCGGCAGGCCUAACACAUGCAAGUCGAGCGGAUGACGGGAGCUUGCUCCUUGAUUCAGCGGCGGACGGGUGAGUAAUGCCUAGGAAUCUGCCUGGUAGUGGGGGACAACGUUUCGAAAGGAACGCUAAUACCGCAUACGUCCUACGGGAGAAAGCAGGGGACCUUCGGGCCUUGCGCUAUCAGAUGAGCCUAGGUCGGAUUAGCUAGUUGGUGGGGUAAUGGCUCACCAAGGCGACGAUCCGUAACUGGUCUGAGAGGAUGAUCAGUCACACUGGAACUGAGACACGGUCCAGACUCCUACGGGAGGCAGCAGUGGGGAAUAUUGGACAAUGGGCGAAAGCCUAAUCCAGCCAUGCCGCGUGUGUGAAGAAGGUCUUCGGAUUGUAAAGCACUUUAAGUUGGGAGGAAGGGCAGUAAGCUAAUAUCUUGCUGUUUUGACGUUACCGACAGAAUAAGCACCGGCUAACUCUGUGCCAGCAGCCGCGGUAACAC
rnacentral:rRNA from 1 species